AGAGUAGGACUGUCAUUGGGGAUCUGGUCCAGAGAGUUAUUGGUCCGUUCUUGGCCUCCCCAUCCACAAACUUCCUGUUCUGCCUCAGCUCCUACAACUUCAGCUGCCUGACCUACCAGAUUGUUAUCAAGGAAUUGAGCGACCAAAGGCAACUCAUGAACAGUGAUAAGCAGCAAGCAGUCUUUACUUAUUUCAUCAAGCCGUUCCUGUCACGAAAGGAGUCAUCGGAUCCUGGCUGCACCUUAUCCACCAAUGGGAGUCGGGAUUGGCUACAGGCAAACCUCGGCAGCUUUGCUGGUUUUGCAACCGUCCAGGAUUUGCAAACCCUCAAC